AACGAACGCUGGCGGCAGGCUUAACACAUGCAAGUCGAGCGCCCCGCAAGGGGAGCGGCAGACGGGCGAGUAACGCGUGGGAAUCUACCCAUCUCUACGGAAUAACGCAUGGAAACGUGUGCUAAUACCGUAUACGUCCUUCGGGAGAAAGAUUUAUCGGAGAUGGAUGAGCCCGCGUUGGAUUAGCUAGUUGGUGGGGUAAAGGCCUACCAAGGCGACGAUCCAUAGCUGGUCUGAGAGGAUGAUCAGCCACACUGGGACUGAGACACGGCCCAGACUCCUACGGGAGGCAGCAGUGGGGAAUAUUGGACAAUGGGCGCAAGCCUGAUCCAGCCAUGCCGCGUGAGUGAUGAAGGCCCUAGGGUUGUAAAGCUCUUUCACCGGUGAAGAUAAUGACGGUAACCGGAGAAGAAGCCCCGGCUAACUUCGAGCCAGCAGCCGCCGCGGUAA
rnacentral:rRNA from 1 species